rnacentral:rRNA from 1 species
UGAAACUAUAUACAAGCGAGCGGCGGACGGGUGAGUAACACGUGGGUAACCUGCCCAAGAGACUGGGAUAACACCUGGAAACAGAUGCUAAUACCGGAUAACAACACUAGACGCAUGUCUAGAGUUUGAAAGAUGGUUCUGCUAUCACUCUUGGAUGGACCUGCGGUGCAUUAGCUAGUUGGUAAGGUAACGGCUUACCAAGGCAAUGAUGCAUAGCCGAGUUGAGAGACUGAUCGGCCACAUUGGGACUGAGACACGGCCCAAACUCCUACGGGAGGCAGCAGUAGGGAAUCUUCCACAAUGGACGAAAGUCUGAUGGAGCAACGCCGCGUGAGUGAAGAAGGGUUUCGGCUCGUAAAGCUCUGUUGGUAGUGAAGAAAGAUAGAGGUAGUAACUGGCCUUUAUUUGACGGUAAUUACUUAGAAAGUCACGGCUAACUACGUGCCAGCAGCCGCGGUAAUACGUAGGUGGCAAGCGUUGUCCGGAUUUAUUGGGCGUAAAGCGAGUGCAGGCGGUUCAAUAAGUCUGAUGUGAAAGCCUUCGGCUCAACCGGAGAAUUGCAUCAGAAACUGUUGAACUUGAGUGCAGAAGAGGAGAGUGGAACUCCAUGUGUAGCGGUGGAAUGCGUAGAUAUAUGGAAGAACACCAGUGGCGAAGGCGGCUCUCUGGUCUGCAACUGACGCUGAGGCUCGAAAGCAUGGGUAGCGAACAGGAUUAGAUACCCUGGUA